UUUCUCUCAAAGUGGUUGUGACUAUGACUAUGUCAAAAAAAAACUGAAAAAAUAGUUGGCAACCAUAUCACAGCCAGCUUUGAUGAGCGACA
rnacentral:pre_miRNA from 1 species